UCUCCUGGAAACGGGUGGUAAUGCCGGAUGUUCCACAUGAUCGCAUGUGAUUGUGGGAAAGAUUCUAUCGGCGUGGGAUGGGGUCGCGUCCUAUCAGCUUGUUGGUGAGGUAACGGCUCACCAAGGCUUCGACGGGUAGCCGGCCUGAGAGGGCGACCGGCCACAUUGGGACUGAGAUACGGCCCAGACUCCUACGGGAGGCAGCAGUGGGGAAUAUUGCACAAUGGGCGCAAGCCUGAUGCAGCGACGCCGCGUGAGGGAUGGAGGCCUUCGGGUUGUAAACCUCUUUUGUUUGGGAGCAAGCCUUCGGGUGAGUGUACCUUUCGAAUAAGCGCCGGCUAACUACGUGCCAGCAGCCGCGGUAAUACGUAGGGCGCAAGCGUUAUCCGGAUUUAUUGGGCGUAAAGGGCUCGUAGGCGGCUCGUCGCGUCCGGUGUGAAAGUCCAUCGCUUAACGGUGGAUCUGCGCCGGGUACGGGCGGGCUGGAGUGCGGUAGGGGAGACUGGAAUUCCCGGUGUAACGGUGGAAUGUGUAGAUAUCGGGAAGAACACC
rnacentral:rRNA from 1 species